GCCUCCUGCUAUCUGAAGAACAACUUUCUUCUGCUUGUUUUGAAGCUGGAUGCUACAGGCUUUAUUCUCUGCACCUAAUUACUGCACUGGGAGAGGCAGAGAAUGCUUCCUGUACAGGAGGAAGCUGCUUCAAAAGGCAGCUUUUAAUCACUGUGUGGCCUGGCAAGGGGAUACCCUGAUGUAGUGAUAGUGUGUUUCAUGGAGUACAUACAGCUCAGCAGCUCUGUGGAUAUCAGCUCUCUGUGCUCUCUUUGAGAUCCAUCCUCUUGAGUUCAUCCUCAACCGAAGAGAAGACAAAAAGUCCUUUUAAGCCUGAUUUUGUCUACUUCUUCCAACACAUCAGGUACUGCAGUGGGAUGUAUCUUCCUGCACUCCUUACCUCUCUUGUAGCCUUACCUGCUGUUAACUUAGCUUCUUCUUGUAGUGGAUACAGAGGUACCAGAGCUCAUUUGUACCAUGAGCUCCUAGCCAGCAGCCUUCAGGACCACACCGUGGCUCCUGGCUCCACUGAGACACUGGGGACCAUACAGCUGAGCCUGCUGGUGAUGCUCAUCCAUGAGAGCAAUUCCAAACAAAAUGGUCCCUCUCCUCCCUACAGGCAGCUUCUAAAUGCCGACAGUGGCUGCUUUAAAGAUUUUCGUAUCACACAAAGUUAUUUAAAAUGGCUGAGUGAUAACCUCCUCAAAGGAAGAUUUAUUAACAUUUACAUCCAGUCCUCAGUGGCACAAUAAAAAUAUAUUAUACUUCAGGUACAAACUGCUUUGCCUAGGGGAAUCCCAAUAAAAUCAAUGAUCCAUUUUUUUUUCUUUAAAGCGAGCAAAAAGCUCCAAGGCCCUUUAUUCCUUCACUGAUCAGUGACUCAGAAAUAUUUUUCAGCACACAUCUCUUCCCCAUAGAGUUCCCUUUAUCCUUGCUGCCUGUGCUGCAGAAACCAGCUACCAAAAGACACAAGCAGUGACUGCCUCAACUUUAUUCUCAUUUUAUCUACUCUCUAAAGAAGGUCUGAGCCCAGCAGGAUUUUCUGAGCUCUGUUUCAGGGUUUCUAGAUGAGCACUGUAAGCACAGGGUCAGACUCUGCUUGCAGCUUUGUAUCCCUUUCAAAACCUCAGGGGUUUGGCUCCUCAGCAGAGCGAGAUGUGCUGCCAGAAGGUGCUGCUGCCCAGCCAUCACCCUACCGAGCAGCAGGGCAAGGGCCCAGCCCCACGGGGACGGGAAGUGAUGAGCAACAUGGCCUCCUCAAGAAAAACAUGGGCUUGAAAAGGAAAGACAGAGAACACAUACAGCGCUGCAUUUAUGAGGAUCAGACAGCGAACCAAGACAAACUCAGGACCGGGCAAGCAAUGGGACCUCUUUCAGCCACACAUAAGCUGUGUUUGGUGCCUACGGACCAGCCAGCUGCAUUCAAAACCAUCAGGAGGAGAGCAAGGUUUCACAGCUCAGGGUGUGAUCUAUGACAGGGAUUUUUGUUGUGAAACAGCCCUGCCAAGGGACCUCACACCUUACUCCUCAGCUGGGAAUCCUUAGCCUCAUUGCAUGGGGCACCUGUGAAAGAGCACAGUGAAAAUCUACCCUCAGCAAAUGGCUGCACAGCACAGGGUUCCUGGAAGCCCUAUUGUUUUUGGAAGGUGAGAAGCAAUACAGAGCAAGUGAAAUCCUUUCACAACUUUCUAUUUGUGUCACUGAGAGAUUCAUAGGGUUAUUGGUUUAAACUGAUGUUAAUGAUAAGAAAAUAAUGCUGAUGGUUGACAAUUUCCAGCUGUGAGCUAACAAAACUACUUAAAUAGGUGCCCAGAUUACUUGCUUUCUUCUCAGCUGUGGGCAGUACUGUUAAGCCAAACUGACGAAGAGGUCUUUCUGAAGCCCUGAAUUUGUGCUUUGUGUAUGUGAGAGUGAGAAAAGUUGUGGGAUCCCUUUGCUCCCUGGUGAGUGAUGCACCUCUGUUGGAGCAGGGAAAGUUGAAUGUAUGAAGUACAAGUGUGCAAAGCUGCUUAAAAAAUCAUGAGUGAGAGGGCAGCUGGAGCAGAGUGCUUUGAGGUGAGAAUAUGACUACAGCCUGAGCUAGGACUGGAGCUGUGUGCAGUUCUGCUAAUGUGAUGCUCCAGCAGGACCCUCUCUGACUUGUGAAGCAUCUUCCCUAAGGCAGCCUCAAGUUGGAAGAGGUCUGAAGUUAUUAGGAUGAGAAGAAAUGCUAUCUUUAGUUUCCUACGUUCCCAGCUUGACUCUUGGAGCAACUAUUUGGAAAAUCAGCAGGGCACAGGGGACAGCUAUGAUCGAUCUCAAAGGUCCAAGGGUUGCCGGGUCUUUAUUAGAGGAAGAAGAUAUAUCUCUGCUUUUUUGAGACUACUUUAUAUUCAGUGAUGGUCCAUCCUGGAGCAGCCUACCCAUGCUAAUGCUAUUUGUGAAUAUCAUAAACAUUUUUUCUAUUCCAUUUAUGAAAUUGCUGAGGAAGAUACUGAAGGGUGAAGAACCCUGCAAGGUUCUGCAGAGUAAAUACUUCUAGUCUUACUGUGAGAAAGUGCCACAAGGUGAGUACACAAUGUGCCAGUGUACUUCCAAAAGGUGAGACAGGGAAUAUACCCAGCUGCCCCACUCCUCUCAUGCUGGCAGCUCUCACACAGGCACAGCAGCAGCUCAGCCCUUUCCUGGGCACAGUGCUCCAGUGUGAUUUUGUUCUUCAGGCUUCGCUUAACACAUACAUUUUCAAAUGGGAAUGUUUUUCUGUGACAAGAAAGGAGGAAGUCAUGGGAAGUUUAAUUUUUGGCAAAACAGCAAUUUCAUUUGGAAUUUCAGGAAACAUGAAAAUAUUGUUGUUUUUUUUUUAACCUCCAGUUGUUGAUUUUCAAAAUUAGAAUUUUUUCUUUCACUUAGAUUUUUCCUUUCCUCUUCUUUCAUAACCUCCCCUCAACUUUUCCCUCAUCUGCUUGCCAGGGAUAUUACGAUAUUUAGAUAUUACUUCCAAAUCUUCCAUUUUCCAUUGUCUAACCUUUGAAAACUUUGAUUUGGAGAAGAUCGUGGAUAGAAUUAAAAAAUAAUAAUAAUAAAAGCCAACAACUGUGAAACCAAAAUGCUGAAUUUACUGGGAUGUAUGUGCAGCCA